rnacentral:rRNA from 1 species
GAUGAACGCUGGCGGCGUGCCUAAUACAUGCAAGUCGAGCGAACAGACGAGGAGCUUGCUCCUCUGACGUUAGCGGCGGACGGGUGAGUAACACGUGGAUAACCUACCUAUAAGACUGGGAUAACUUCGGGAAACCGGAGCUAAUACCGGAUAAUAUAUUGAACCGCAUGGUUCAAUGGUGAAAGACGGUUUUGCUGGCACUUAUAGAUGGAUCCGCGCCGCAUGAGCUAGUUGGUAAGGUAACGGGUUACCAAGGCAACGAUGCGUAGCCGACCUGACAGGGGGAUCGGCGACACGGGAGCUGAGACACGGUCAAUACUCCUACGGGAGGCAGCAGAAGGGAAUCGUCCGCAAUGGGCGAAAGCCUGACGGAGCAACGCCACGUGAGUGAUGAAGGUCUUCGGAUCGUAAAACUCUGUUAUUAGGGAAGAACAAAUGUGUAAGUAACUAUGCACGUCUUGACGGUACCUAAUCAGAAAGCCACGGCUAACUACGUG